CCUACGGGAGGCAGCAGUAGGGAAUAUUGCUCAAUGGGGGAAACCCUGAAGCAGCAACGCCGCGUGGGGGAUGAAGGUUUUCGGAUUGUAAACUCCUUUUGUUAGAGAAGAUAAUGACGGUAUCUAACGAAUCAUCACCGGCUACCUCCGUUCCAGCAUCCGCGGUCAUACGGGGGUGCAAGCGGUAACCGGGAGAACUGGGAGUAAAGAGCGCGUAGGCGGGAUCGAAAGUCAGAUGUGAAAUACUAUGGCUUAACCAUAGAACUGCAUUUGAAACUGUUAGUCUAGAGUAGGGGAGAGGUAGGUGGAAUGCUUGGUGUAGGGGUAAAAUGCGUAGAGAUCAAGAGGAAUACUCAUUGCGAAGGCGACAUGCUAGAACAUAACUGACGCUGAUGCGCGAAAGCGUGGGGAGCAAACAGGAUUAGAUACCCGAGUAGUC
rnacentral:rRNA from 1 species